CAGCUUAAUCAUGCAUACGAAGGGGACUAGGCGUACAACAAUAACAGAUUAAAAAUUUAGAAAACAAUAAUUCGUACAAUCGUGCACAAAGCGACCGAACGACGAGGCCCUCCUCCCCGACGAGCCAGCGUACGUCGCCUAAUAAUAAUUAAAAAAAAAAACACCGACGAGGUUGUCGCCAACUGUCGUGCUCCCGAGAAAGGAUGACUACAUCGGCUUGUUCACGACAGACGGACAUCGUCAACUCGGCCGUGCGGAAUGCACCCCCGCCUACGAGGAAAACGCCUUCUCCAGGGGAAGCAGUUGGCUCCGUCUCGUCGACGCCUCGGCACAAAACGACUCGGCACUCUGGCGCCUCCGCCAGCCCUGCGGCAUCCAACGGGCGUCAGCUACUGCAUGCAACGUCUUCACAGAGCUGCGCACCUGUUCGUCUCCUCCAGAGCUUCGAUCGUGCUGUGCUUCUGUGUGCGUCCUGUACUACGCUCGAAUUAAAGCGACGUACUAACAUGGCCUGUCUCUGCUUCUCUGCUUUGCGAUGCUGUGCU